GAGGGUAUAGCUGAGUGGCAAGAGUGCAUGCCUAGCAAGCAUGAGGUCCUAGGUUCAGUCCCCAGUACCUCCA
rnacentral:tRNA from 1 species